AUUAACGCUGGCGGCAUGCCUUACACAUGCAAGUCGAACGGUAGAGGGGCAACCCUUGAGAGUGGCGAACGGGUGAGUAAUAUAUCGGAACGUGCCCAGUCGUGGGGGAUAACGCAGCGAAAGCUGCGCUAAUACCGCAUACGAUCUAUGGAUGAAAGCGGGGGAUCGCAAGACCUCGCGCGAUUGGAGCGGCCGAUAUCAGAUUAGGUAGUUGGUGGGGUAAAAGCCCACCAAGCCGACGAUCUGUAGCUG
rnacentral:rRNA from 1 species